rnacentral:rRNA from 1 species
GAUGAACGCUGGCGGCGUGCCUAAUACAUGCAAGUCGAGCGAACGGACGAGAAGCUUGCUUCUCUGAUGUUAGCGGCGGACGGGUGAGUAACACGUGGAUAACCUACCUAUAAGACUGGGAUAACUUCGGGAAACCGGAGCUAAUACCGGAUAAUAUUUUGAACCGCAUGGUUCAAAAGUGAAAGACGGUCUUGCUGUCACUUAUAGAUGGAUCCGCGCUGCAUUAGCUAGUUGGUAAGGUAACGGCUUAUCAAGGCAACGAUGCAUAGCCGACCUGAGAGGGUGAUAGGCCACACUGGAACUGAGACACGGUCCAGACUCCUACGGGAGGCAGCAGUAGGGAAUCUUCCGCAAUGGGCGAAAGCCUGACGGAGCAACGCCGCGUGAGUGAUGAAGGUCUUCGGAUCGUAAAACUCUGUUAUUAGGGAAGAACAUAUGUGUAAGUAACUGUGCACAUCUUGACGGUACCUAAUCAGAAAGCCACGGCUAACUACGUG